rnacentral:rRNA from 1 species
AUUGAACGCUGGCGGCAGGCCUAACACAUGCAAGUCGAGCGAGCGGCGGACGGGUGAGUAAUGCCUGGGAAUUGCCCAGUCGAGGGGGAUAACAGUUGGAAACGACUGCUAAUACCGCAUACGAUUGGAUUGCCCAGGUGGGAUUAGCUAGUUGGUGAGGUAAUGGCUCACCAAGGCGACGAGCCCUAGCUGGGCUGAGAGGAUGAACAGCCACACUGGGACGGAGAGACAGUCCAGACUACUACGGCAGGCAGCAGUGGGGAAUAGUGCGCGAUGGGGGAAACCCGGAUGCAGCCAGGCCGCGUGUGUGAAGAAGGCCUUCGGGUUGUAAAGCACUUUCAGCGAGGAGGCGUUACUCGCAGAAGAAGCACCGGCUAACUCCGUGCCAGCAGCCGCGGUAAUAC